rnacentral:rRNA from 1 species
GCGGAGGAAAAGAAACCACAGGGAUUGCCUAGUAACGGCGAGUGAAGCGGCAACAGCUCAAAUUUGAAAGCUAGCCUUCGGGUUCGCAUUGUAAUUUGUAGAGGAUGAUUUGGGGAAGCCGCCUGUCUAAGUUCCUUGGAACAGGACGUCAUAGAGGGUGAGAAUCCCGUAUGUGACAGGAAAUGGCACCCUAUGUAAAUCUCCUUCGACGAGUCGAGUUGUUUGGGAAUGCAGCUCUAAAUGGGAGGUAAAUUUCUUCUAAAGCUAAAUAUUGGCGAGAGACCGAUAGCGCACAAGUAGAGUGAUCGAAAGAUGAAAAGCACUUUGGAAAGAGAGUUAAAAAGCACGUGAAAUUGUUGAAAGGGAAGCGCUUGCAAUCAGACUUGUUUAAACUGUUCGGCCGGUCUUCUGACCGGUUUACUCAGUUUGGACAGGCCAGCAUCAGUUUCGGCGGCCGGAUAAAGGCUCUGGGAAUGUGGCCUCCACUUCGGUGGAGGUGUUAUAGCCCAGGGUGUAAUACGGCCAGCCGGGACUGAGGUCCGCGCUUCGGCUAGGAUGCUGGCGUAAUGGUUGUAAGCGACCCGU